rnacentral:lncRNA from 1 species
ACAUAUGCUUGGAUGUUUCCAGGUCGAUUUGGGGCAACAAGAAUUUAAAGUGAGAGGGCAUACGUAGAGAUUAGAGAUAAUUAUUUUCUUUUUAAAUUUUGGAGGGGCUAAUCUCCAUAUUUCUAUCCUUAUUCCUACCCUAUCUCUUGAUUCUAAGCAGGAUUUAUUAUGAAUUAUUUCCUACGCUUAUUGCCUUAAGUGUUAUACAAGAAGUGACUCUUCUGCAGUUUUAUUAGCAAUUAAUAAAGCGUUUCAAUAGUAACCAAUAGAUGGUAGGGAAUGUAAAAUUAGUUAAAGAUAUAUAUGUAUGCAUAAAAGACUAGCUAUUUUAUAGAGCGAGGAAAAAGAAAAAUUUAGAGAGCCAUUUUAUAAAGGGAGGGAAAAAGAACUGAUAGCAGAGCCAUCUUAUAAAGGGAGAAAAAGGGAACCAUGAUCAGAGCAUCAAAAGCUCCCUCAAUUCUCAGUUAGGCCUGUAACAGGUGCACCUUUGAGGUUAUUUCAGUAGUCACAAACAGCUUACAUUACAGUAUUGUGGAGUUCUUUUUGUCAUGGACUAGUAGUUAAGGCCAUUUUUCUUUGGGUGUUUCAUCUGUAGGGAAGACUUUCCCCCUAAUGUACCAAGGAAAAAAAAAAACAGCUGACACCACAGUUACAAUCGAAUCGAGACUUAUGAAAAAUCAAAUAAACGGACCCUUAGAGCCAAAGUCAAGGCUUUAUUACUGACAGCAAAAUGUAUUAUAAGUUACAUAUGAAGAGACGCUAAUCCAUUUGGAUCAAAAAUUAUUGAACUCUGGAGUGUACAUCAUUCCAAAAGUAGUCCAUGUAAGAACCUAAAAUAAACUAGUCCUCAAAGAAGGAUCCUGAUUUAUACCUAUAUAGUACCCUUGUAUGUAUGAUGUAUUUUUUUUUUGAUGUAAUUGUAUGUAUCAUGAUGAAUAAAUUAAUGAUGC